AGCUUACGUUUUACAAGCACUCCUUAAGAGACAAAUGUCCUAUUUCCUCAUUAGAUGGCCAUGCAAUGUCACCCCCAUAGUGGUAGCAGCUAUCUUGCAUACAAGAAAGUGGCUUGUUCCCUUGGGUCCCUUCCUGGUCUGACAGUACAAUUAAAGUGGGUUAUUGUGAUACCAUCUCUUGCUCCUCUACUAUCUCAAUUAACCAUCUUCAGCACUUUAUUGUCAGCAUUUAGACACGUGCUGUAUUCUGGUGUUGGCGUAUUGACAGUUUCAUGUUUGAUUGGGUACAUGUAAUCAAUGGCCUGGUCGUUGGUGAAGGCUUAUCAAUAGAUAGUUGUUGCUUUCUAAUAGAGGAAUGAGAACUAAUUGGUUACGUGAACAAUUGCCUUCUCUGCAGAUUUAGAAAAGGAUCUACUGGAAAGGUAGAUCAAUUCUCAUGCUGCAGAUGUGGAAUUUUAUUUCUUCAUAUUACACACACAGGCAUAAAAUU